rnacentral:rRNA from 1 species
UCGGGUUGAGUGGCGGACGGGUGAGUAACGCGUGAGAAUCUGCCUUGGGGUCGGGGACAACCACUGGAAACGGUGGCUAAUACCGGAUAAGCCUUUGGGUAAAAGAUUUAUUGCCCCAAGAGGAGCUCGCGUCUGAUUAGCUAGUUGGUGAGGUAAGAGCUCACCAAGGCAGCGAUCAGUAGCUGGUCUGAGAGGACGAUCAGCCACACUGGGACUGAGACACGGCCCAGACUCCUACGGGAGGCAGCAGUGGGGAAUUUUCCGCAAUGGGCGAAAGCCUGACGGAGCAAGACCGCGUGAGGGAGGAAGGCUCUUGGGUUGUAAACCUCUUUUCUCAGGGAAGAAGCUCUGACGGUACCUGAGGAAUCAGCCUCGGCUAACUCCGUGCCAGCAGCCGCGGUAAUACGGAGGAGGCAAGCGUUAUCCGGAAUUAUUGGGCGUAAAGCGUCCGCAGGUGGCGAUUCAAGUCUGCUGUCAAAGCACGGGGCUUAACUCCGUUAAGGCAGUGGAAACUGAAUAGCUAGAGUGCCGUAGGGGUAGAGGGAAUUCCCGGUGUAGCGGUGAAAUGCGUAGAGAUCGGGAAGAACAUCGGUGGCGAAAGCGCUCUACUGGACGGCAACUGACACUCAGGGACGAAAGCUAGGGGAGCGAAUGGGAUUAGAUACCCCAGUAGUCCUAGCUGUAAACGAUGGAUACUAGGUGUAGCUUGUAUCGACCCGAGCUGUGCCGAAGCUAACGCGUUAAGUAUCCCGCCUGGGGAGUACGCACGCAAGUGUGAAACUCAAAGGAAUUGACGGGGGCCCGCACAAGCGGUGGAGUAUGUG